GUUGGUGAACCAGCGGAGGGAUCAUUACAGAGUUGUAAAACUCCAAAACCCAUGUGAACAUACCUCAGUUGCCUCGGCGGACGUGCUCUGCAGCUACCCAGUAGCUACCCAGCACCCCGCCGAAGGACCCUAAACUCUUGUUUUAAUGUAUCUCUGAGAAAAACUUUAAAUAAGUCAAAACUUUCAACAACGGAUCUCUUGGUUCUGGCAUCGAUGAAGAACGCAGCAUCUGACUGACUAAGAUUCGGCG
rnacentral:misc_RNA from 1 species